rnacentral:rRNA from 1 species
AAUCAACGCUGGCGGCGUGCCUCAGACAUGCAAGUCGAACGAUUAAAGCUCCCUUCGGGGAGUGCAUAAAGUGGCGCACGGGUGAGUAACACGUAAGUAAUCUACCCUCGAGUGGGGAAUAACGUCCGGAAACGGACGCUAAUACCGCAUAAUGCAGCGGCACCGCAAGGUGACAGUUGUUAAAGAUUUAUCGCUUGAGGAGGAGCUUGCGGCAGAUUAGCUAGUUGGUAAGGUAAUGGCUUACCAAGGCCGCGAUCUGUAACCGGUCUAAGAGGACGGUCGGUCACACUGACACUGAAUAACGGGUCAGACUCCUACGGGAGGCAGCAGUCGGGAAUUUUGGGCAAUGGGCGAAAGCCUGACCCAGCAACGCCGCGUGAAGGAUGAAGUAUUUCGGUAUGUACACUUCGAAAGAAUGGGAAGAAUAAAUGACGGUACCAUUUAUAAGCUCCGGCUAACUACGUGCCAGCCGCCGCGGUAAGAC